AUUGAACGCUGGCGGCAGGCCUAACACAUGCAAGUCGAACGAGUGGCGGACGGGUGAGUAAUGUCUGGGAAACUGCCUGAUGGAGGGGGAUAACUACUGGAAACGGUAGCUAAUACCGCAUACCAUCGGAUGUGCCCAGCUGGGAUUAGCUAGUAGGGGGGGUAACGGCUCACCUAGGCGACGAUCCCUAGCUGGUCUGAGAGGAUGACCAGCCACACGGGAACUGAGGCACGGCCCAGACUCCGACGGGAGGCAGCAGUGGGGAAUAUUGCACAAUGGGGGCAAGCCUGAUGCAGCCAUGCCGCGUGUAUGAAGAAGGCCUUCGGGUUGGAAAGUACUUUCAGCGAGGAGGCGUUACUCGCAGAAGAAGCACCGGCUAACUCCGUGCCAGCAGCCGCGGUAAUUC
rnacentral:rRNA from 1 species